UCCCGGUUGGUGCAAUUGGCAGCACAACGGAUUUUGGAUCCGUUGAUCCAGGUUCGAACCCUGGGCCGGGAG
rfam:Kibdelosporangium aridum strain DSM 43828 genome assembly, contig: LX79DRAFT_scaffold00002.2